AUUGAACGCUGGCGGCAUGCUUUACACAUGCAAGUCGAACGGCAGCGAGAGAGAAGCUUGCUUCUCUUGUCGGCGAGUGGCGAACGGGUGAGGAAUACAACGGAACGUACCCUGUAGUGGGGGCUAACUACUCGAAAGAGUAGCUCAUACCGCAUACACCCUGAGGGUAAAAGGGGGGGACCGCAAGGCCUCACGCUAUAGGAGCGGCCGAUGGAUGAUUAGCUAGUUGGUAGGGUAAAGGCCUACCAAGGCGACGAUCGUUAGCUGGUCUGAGAGGACGAUCCGCCACACUGGGACUGAGACACGGCCCAGACUCCUACGGGAGGCAGCAGUGGGGAAUUUUGGACAAUGGGCGAAAGCCUGAUCCAGCAAUGCCGCGUGAGUGAAGAAGGCCUUCGGGUUGUAAAGCUCUUUUGUUUGGGAAGAAAUCCUAACGGAUAAUACCUGUUGGGGAUGACGGUACCAAAAGAAUAAGCACCGGCUAACUACGUGCCAGCCGCCGCCGUAACAC
rnacentral:rRNA from 1 species